UAAGAAUAUUCCGCAAUGGACGAAAGUCUGACGGAGCGACGCCGCGUGGAUGAAGAAGGCCGAAAGGUUGUAAAAUCCUUUUGCUGAUGAAGAAUAAGUGUGGUAGGGAAUGACAGCAUGAUGACAUUAGUCGGUGAAUAAGCCCCGGCUAACUACGUGCCAGCAGCCGCGGUAACACGUAGGGGGCAAGCGUUGUUCGGAAUUAUUGGGCGUAAAGGGCAUGUAGGCGGUUUUGUAAGCCUGGUGUGAAAUCCUGCAGCUUAACUGUAGAAUUGCAUUGGGUACUGCGAGACUUGAAUCACAGAGGGGAAACUAGAAUUCCAGGUGUAGGGGUGGAAUCUGUAGAUAUCUGGAAGAAUACCGGUGGCGAAGGCGGGUUUCUAGAUGAUGAUUGACGCUGAGGUGCGAAAGUGCGGGGAGCAAAC
rnacentral:rRNA from 1 species